rnacentral:rRNA from 1 species
UACGUAGGCAGCAAGCGUUGUUCGGAGUUACUGGGCGUAAAGGGUGUGUAGGCGGUUCUUUAAGUUUGGUGUGAAAUCUCCCGGCUUAACCGGGAGGGUGCGCCGAAUACUGAGGGACUAGAGUACGGGAGAGGAAAGUGGAAUUCCUGGUGUAGCGGUGAAAUGCGUAGAUAUCAGGAGGAACACCGGUGGUGUAGACGGCUUUCUGGACCGUAACUGACGCUGAGACACGAAAGCGUGGGUAGCAAUCAGG